rnacentral:lncRNA from 1 species
CAAAAUUAAAUAAAGGCAAAUCACAAAAAUACCUAACAAAUAGAGGAUAGGAGAUAUUAAAAAAAAUCAUAGGUUAGGUGGGAUAUUUAGCAAACUAAUAAUAAGAAACUAAAUUGUUAAUAAAAAUGAAGAACCAUUUGAAUAUUUGGAUAUUUCUAUGUUCUUCUAAAAAUGAAUUACUAUGCACAAUGUGCUUAGGAGUUGCCAUCAACGAUAAACCAACAUACCAUUCCCUUAUCAUAUGAUUUGCACAUGAUAGAGUUCCAAAUUGAGGUCCUAGUUUUUAAUGAGGGGGAAUGAUGUCUAACGGAUUUUCGGAGUGUAGCCUUCAUAUCUAAUAUGACCUAUUACAUGCACAUUAUCGUUAGUCAUGUCUUUCCAUAUUCGUAUCAUGGCUAUUGUCGUUGGAAUUUGUUUAUGACCUUAGAAUCUAAGGGUAAAAGAAUUGAGUGGUAGAAGUUUUGUUUUCGUAGACAUGUUAUGUGUAUGCAAUGUCUGAUAUCAAAGAAAAUUUAGCUAAGCUAUAACGUGUAAUUCUGACACAACGUGAUAGGCGAGACAAUAUUGGUCAUGAUAAAUAGGCAAGAGCGUUCUUAUGUAACAUUUCUUUUAAUAUAACGACACUUAAUAUUCUUAGUAUCUGUUGGGUUUUUAUUCAAAAACUAGAUUCAAAAACAUAAUAUUUGACAACAGAAGACUUGAUGUAACAACGUAAAAUUUCCAAUUUAAUUUUUCAUUUUCAAACCACAAAAUGUAUAACAUAUCAAAAUCUCAAAUCCAUAACAACAGUGUUUUCAAAACAAAUCUCAAGAUCUCUCUAACAUGAACUCCAUCGGUGUGGGUGUGUACAAGUCAAGCCUUCGCCUUCCCACGGUCCUCGCUGGUACCUGAGACAUCAAACACAACAACUGUAAGCAUAAAUGCUUAGUGAGUUCCCUAAAAUACCACAUAUCACAAUUACGCCACUCAAGGCUAAACCCGACCCUCCGGUCAAGAUGUCUCAGCGGGGCCCUCCAGUCUCGCAGCUCGUCGGACCCUCCGGUCCAGUCAUAGCUCGUUGGGCCCUCCGGCCCGGUCAGAAUCGUUGGACCCUCCAGCCCGGUCUAUAUAACCAUACAGCAUACAAAUAACACAUAGCAUGAAAUCUCUAAGACAACACAUAAACUCAUACAUAGCACAUGAGACCCUCUGGUCAACUCGAAAUACCUACUCAAGGUAAUGAAUAGUGAGAAGACUCACCUCGCGUAUCUCGGUAACUCGUAAAUCUCGUAACUAUUAGUGCUCGAUCUCCUAAGCUAUCGUCCUCCUACAACACAAGCAUAUCUCUACUUAAUACCACCUUGACCCAGGCUGACUAACACUAUGAAGUCAAACUAGUCAACUCUGGUCAACGGUCAACGGUCAACGGUUGACCCAACUCGCCGAGUCCCUACGGGAACCCGAUCCCUCUGAAUCUCUUCCGACUCACCGAGUCACUCACCCGACUCGGUUACUCAGUCCCUGGUUCGUAAUCACUAAACAACCCGCACCAACUCGCCGAGUCUGGGAUUGGACUCGGCGAGUGCAUUCCAUGCACAACCCCAAUCGACCUUUUGAGGUCAGAUCCACUCUACUAACUCAUAGAUCCAGUCCCCUUAAGCUUAUUGACCACGUAAAGUCCAAGUCUUGGUGCUCAUUAAGCAUCAAAUAGCUCAUUAAUGGUGUUUUAGCCUCAAAUACAUUGAUCCCAACCCAAAACCUCCAUGGAUGCAUAUAAAGCUUGGGCAAAGAGGUGCUCUAGACCUCUAUGGGUCUAGAUUCAGAGCCAUAACUCGCCAAGGGACCAUGAGGAUACUAGAUCUAGCCACAAAUGGGUUCAAAAGCCCUAAAUCUAUAUGAACAUCACAAUAACAAGGAAGAAUUCGAAAUGGUACCUCAGUUGUGAUGUCCUGGACCUUAGUUCUUCAAGAAUCCACCCCUCUCUUGCUUCCUCUUGGCUAGAUCUCCUCUUCCCUUGCUAGACAAUAACUCCAAGAUCAACAAUGGCUCCUUCCCUCACUUGAAUCACUCAAAUGCUCUAGGAUUUCACUCUGGGGACUGAUGAGUGCAAAUGACGGCCAUAAGGCCCUUUAAAUAGGCCUCAAACCCGAGAAAUUAGGGUUUCAUUAAACAACGAAGACUCGCGCGAGUCCACCAAGGCGACUCGCCGAGUCGGGGCAUCAAUCCGGGUGAAAAAUCGCGUCUCAACUCGGCGAGUCUACGCACCAACUCGCCGAGUCCUUCCACAAAACUCAAAAUAAAAAAGAAUAAUUAAUAUACCUGAAAUCCCGAAUGUUACAAUUCUCCCCCACUAGAAUCCGACUUCGCCCUCGAAGUCUCAUUCCUGAAAUAGCUCUGGAUGCUGCUCCCGCAUCUCCCGCUCCGAUUCCCAGGUCAACUCGGAUCCCUUCCGAUGCUGCCACUGAACCUGUACCAGAGGCACUUCCUUGUUCCUCAGAACNCUUCCGAUCCAUAAUCGCAACCAGUCUCUCCGCGUAGUUCAAGCUCGCAUCCACCUAAAUGUCCUCUAACGGCACCACUGCCGACUCGUCGACAAUAGAUUUCCUCAACUACGAGACAUGAAAGGUAUCAUGGAUCUUCCCCAACUCAGCAGGUAGAACCAAUCGAAAUCAUGGAUUGAGAGGUCAAACGAACGAAACAAAGUCGCAUCCCGAUAGUGAAGGUUCGCUGGAAUGCUAAGCGGGGACCCGAAUUCACUUGGGAGCGCGAGGAUUCAAUGAAACAGAAGUACCCUCAUCUUUUUCCAAAUCCAUGAAUUGUAUCCACAUUUCUGAAUUUCGGGAUGAAAUUCCCUCUAACGGGGGGAUGAUGUGACAACUCGAAACUUUUAUCAUGUGCAAUUGAUUCGUAUAUCAAUAUUUAUCUCGAACUUAUCAUCUCUUAGCGAAAUUUUGGGUCCGUAUGAGUGCUUUAGGCUUGGAAUAUCAUAGAUAUGAGUCUUAAGAAGGGUUAGAAAGUGUGUAGCAUCGCAAAAUCGGGCCAAACACACCAAGGAAGGUGUGUGCGGCCAGCCAGCUGCACAGCCCAGCUGUACACACCUUCUAGCCUCACACCUGACCCUAUGUGUUGGAGGAGACCCCCCUUCAUUCAUUCUUCCCCUCUUUUGGCUGCACAUUACUUUCUCUCUCUACAAACUUCAUCCAAGAACAUCAUUAAGGACUCAAAAACGUGAACUACUUCAUCAUCCAGCUUGUUAUAGUGGUAAGACACUUGAAUCUAAGCCUAAAACCCAUAGUGUUCUUCAUGUUCUUCAUCCUUUGAAGGAGUGCAGCUGCACACCUUCAUAAGGUGGCCGCACACACUCAAAUACCCUACAAAGUGAGAGUAUGGCCCCUAUAUUCGAAUUAAAACAUGGUUUGGAACUUGAAAUACCUCAAAAUCGACAUUUCGGGAUCAAACAAGGAGUGUACGACCGCACACACCCUCUGUACAACUGCACAUUCCUGUGUGCAUCCGCACACACAAGUCUGACCACACUCCCUGGCCACACACUCACCUUUAUGGCCAUACACCCACUCUAAUGCUCAUAUGUGGCCUUAAACUUACAAGGAUCACUACGUGUGGAACAUAGAACACUUAGUUCAAACAAUUCUAAGACCUUAGGAUGGUUUCCCGUCAUGAUUAGUCAUGAAAUACCCUAAUCUAAUACAUAUAUCUGUUACCAUAUGAUUAAUAGGGUCCAUUUGCGUUCAGAACAUCUGUUGACACACCGCAUUCAUAUCGAUCGUAUACGCGCAUCCUACGUUAAACAGUGAGUUCAUACCCCUACACUUUUCCGAGUUUUUCAUGUUUUCAGGGGGGAAUACAAGCUAAACAUAAAGGUUUUCAUAACUUAAAAACUGAGGCAAUUAUAAUGAUUUCCUAUCAAACGUUUAGAUACAAUUAUCCCUCUUGUAUUAUGCGGAGCAUAAGGGAUGCUUUCAAUUCAUAAUUGCAUAAUUUUCAAAACCAUAUCCGAACGUAACAACCAUUCAAACUAUAAUAGGUAUAGUUUGGGAUUUCAUUACAAGUCAUACAGAUUCAACUUCAUGCAAAGUCAAACAUAUAAACUAUGUCAGAUUUAGUUGAUCCAUUACUACGAAUACAAAACUAGAGUAUCAUGCUAAAUAAUUAUUUUUUGUAUAAUUAUUUAUACUCUAUACCGUUACAAACAAAUUCGAACUCAAGAACAACCGAACAAACACGUAAACUAGUUAAUACAUGAUUGUGAGACUAUCUUCGUUUUACCCCUCGGGGUACCAAUAAAUCCUCAUCGGUAGUAUAACCAGAGUCUCCUGGAGGGAGAGCGUGAAAUUUAUGAAUAGAUCUAUUUGGGACCGACAAUCCCACACCUGAACUGUUAGCUACAGUUAGGCGGGCACGCCUGGGGUGACAAAUUUUGAAAUCGUGCGACGCCUGAAGAACGUCAAGGAGGUCAUCAGUCAUAUUAGCAUGGUUAUAAGACUCACAAUAAGUAUAAACUAAUCAUUGUUUACAUGAUUUCUUUCUUCUAUAGUUUUAUUUUAAGUAAUAAAAACUACUAUACAUACUGGUGGUACAGGGUUUUCCGAACGAUCAUAUAUUCCAUACUGGUGGUAACCAGGAUUUUCAAACAGAACAUACCUGUCAUUCAAAAACCAACAAACAUGUUAGAAAAUAUUGGAUUUUCUUGGUAAGCAUGCGUACAUAUUUCAGAACUUGUUAACAACGGUUUUCGAUACAAACGGUAUUUACCUAUAAUGGAAAGAAACUAUUUAUACUUUCCAAUACAAAAACAUGCUUAUGAACUCACCAGCUUUAUGCUGAUAUGUUUUUCAAAACCGCUUGUAUUCUCAAAACAACGAUAGACAGGCACUUAACCAACUUUUGGAGAAGACGGGGCAUUUUUGGAGUCUCGUCUUUAUCUUUUGUUAUAUAAUACUAUGUACCUACUUUGUUUUCAAACAGAUGUAAAUAUUCAUAUUGUAAUGUAAUGGUUGUGUUUACUAUGCUUGCUAUGAUACGAUUGUUGUGAUACUACGUAUGACGUCGCCGCCCCCGGACGUUUCCGCCGUUGUUUUCCCGACGGUUCGGGGGUGUGACAUUUUAUUUUUGACAUUAUGUGUUAUCUUUUUAUGUGUCAGCUGUUGACGUUAUGUAAUUGACAUUUUAUAUUAUGUGUUAUUGUUUUUCAUUGUGAAUCGACAUUUUAUAUUAUGUGUUAUAAUUUGUCGUUAUGUAAUUGACAUUUUAUAUUAUUUGUUAUUGUUUGACAAUAUUAUUUUGAAUUAUGUAGGAUGGAUAGUGAUAACUCUAAUUCAUCUGACGAUAAUGAGGAAUGUUGGGUGAAAGAGGAUAGAGAAUUCGAAAUGUUAUGUGGGCUAGCUCUGAAAAGGAUAAUACUAGCUUGUAACAUACGUAGGUCAUGUCACACUUCAGACCGCACAGGGAACAUAUUUAUUAAUGAAGUAUUAAAUGGUCAUCCUAGAUGAUGUUAUGAGAUGUUUAGACUGCAUGUACUAGUUUUUAGAUAAUUAUGCAUAGAUCUUGCUACAAAUUACAGACUAUAACAAACACAAAAUAUAUUUAUUGAUGAGUCGGUAGUAAUGUUCUUGAUGACUUUGGCCCAUGGAUGUAGCAAUAGAUUUGUGCAAGAAUUUUUUGAUCAUUUCAGGGAAAUGAUUCAUAGGCAUUUCCAUAUAGUUUUGGCAGCCGUGCUUAAGAUGAGUGCCGUUAAGAUGAGUGCCGGCAUCAUCAGGCCAACCACCAACUAUAAUGAUGAAGUUCCCAAAUAUAUAUUAAACAAUCCUUAGUAUUAUCCAAUGUUCAAGGUAUUAUCUAAUGUUCCGUUACUUCACCAAAUGAUUUAUUUAUGAUAUCUUUUUGUAUUUGUAGGAUUGCAUUGACGCUAUAGAUGAGACACACGUGGGCAUUAGUUCGACAGCAUGAGGAAGCGAAAUACAUUGGUUGAAAGGGAUAUGGAACACAAAAUAUAAUGAUUGUUUGUGAUUUUAACAUAUGUUUUACAUUUGUGUGGGCCGGAUGGGAGGGAACUGCACAUGGCACAAGAAUUUUCAAUGAAGCCUUACAUAGACCGGAUCUUCAUUUUCCAUUUCCAACAGGUAGUUAGUAUAAAUUUUUAGUUACACGAGUUUUAUGUUUUUAAUACUUGUUUGAAACGGAUAACAAAUAUUUGUUUUCUUUACAGAUAAAUAUUACGUUAUUGAUGUCAGAUACCCAAAUACCAGAGGGUAUCUUGCUCCCUAUAAAGGAACUAAUAUUCGUUAUCAUAUAUCGGAUUUUCGACGUGGACAUACUGCUGCUAUGCGUGAACCUCGUGGACCGAAAGAGAAAUUUAACUAUUACCAUUCAUCAUUGUGAAAUACCAUUGAGCAGACUUUUAGAAUGUGGAAAGCUAGGUGAGCGUUAUUAAGAGACAUCCAUAACUAUAUUAGAAAUGCUGAUAGGUUUGAUGAAACAUUUAAUAGGGCACAACAAAAAUCCUACAAUCUCACACACAAUCGUACUAGUAGUAAAGGUGACGAAGAAGGUCCAAGUACACAUCGCAUGAGUAAUGAUAACUCGUAUAUGACAACGAUACGAGAUAUUAUUGCACAAGAUAUAAUGGAAUUCCGGAGAUGAAUGUAAUUUGAUGUAACAUAUGAUAUUUUUUAUGAAUUAUUUAGAAUUUUUAUUCUACUUUUGUAUGAACAUAAUUUUAAUAUUAUCAAUGGUAAAAAUGUUUUAAAAAAAUUAUAUUAUGUAUUUUGUAAAAAAAAAAGUUUAAAAAAAACAAAAAUUUUGUGUAAUAAAAUUGUUGACUAUAAAAUAUUAUAUGUAAACUAGUAAAUCAUUCUAGAUACGAAUCCAUAUCCUUUUUAGUCAUUUUACAGGUAAAAACUAUGCCAAAUACAUUUAAAAAAAAUAACUUAUUGAUUUUUUAGCUUUUGUCAUCCUAAAAGCUAAUCUAAAUACUUUUUUAAAGCUGUUUUUAGAAAAAACCAUAAACCAAUAAUCACUUUCUAAAAAAAAAAAAAAACACUUUGAAGUACAAAAAAACACUCUUAGUCUAAACAACCCCACAUUACACUUCAUUGUUAUUUUAGCCAUUAGUGAAAAUUUUGUGCAAAACAUAUAAAGUUAGAUGACCCUUAACCUUUUUUUAGUUCGACAGCCUAUUCAUAAUUUACAAACUUUCAUAACCUUAUUCAUCUUUCCCAAAAGAAUUAAUAUCUCAUAAAAAAAUUGUUCAUUGAUUUCUUGUGUUUACAUAUGUAAAUAUCAUUCACUAUAUUUACCACACAUUAUUUUUUAACCUUUUAUAAAAACUUGCUACAUCAGCUAGCAACAAAGACGUUUAAUGAAACCAAUAUCUUCCGUUACAAUAAUAUUAUUAUAUUGAUUCCUCACCAACUUCUAGAACAAGUUUAAGGUGAAACAUGCGAAGUGCUUGCCACCCUCCACAUCUCUCCUUUCUUGAAAUCAAAAAAACGCCCACAAAACCAGUGAUCGAUCGAGUUGUACAUUUGUCCUCUUUCCUCCCUCUCGAAUCCCUCCUGUCAUUAAUCACAUAAUGACGACAUUAAUUUGUCAUUGUAUCAACAAACCAUAAAUUUCUGCCAUUAAUGCAACCUUUCCAUCUCUAAAAAUCUUGAAUUUAUAUGAUAUUUCGUGCAAAUCGGUUUUAAACUUAUGGCAGAGAUGCAGGCUAUACAUUUGCUGUUAUUUGGUCAGUUUUUAGCUCAAUUGAUCAUGAUUCAUGCGAAAGUAUCAUCGAUUAUUGUAUUUGGAGACUCUACUGUUGAUGCUGGGAACAAUAACCACGUGGCAACAGUUCUGAGAAGCAACUUUCAACCUUAUGGUCGUGAUUUCUAUGGCAGCCGGCCCACUGGCCGGUUUUGUAACGGUCGGAUUGCUACUGAUUUCAUAUCGGAGGCUUUUGGGAUCCGGUCUAUUGUGCCGGCUUAUUUGGAUCCGAAUUAUAAUAUGGUAGAUUUUGCAAAAGGGGUCAGCUUUGCUUCUGCUGGAACAGGUUAUGAUAAUCUUACUGCUGCAAUACUUGUAAGUUUUCAACUUUUUUGUUGCUUAAUUUGUUCAAUUUCUUAUGUCUAACGGGUCAAGUGGGCAAAGUUGGCUUGCUAUGGGUCGGGUUCAAUCGGAUUUUGCCUAAAAUUUAAAUUAAACCAUAAUAAUUUGGUUUUUGAGCCCCAAGAACCGUUUGAGUUUGGUGUUUUAUAGUUUUGGUUGUUGGUUUUGUUUUGGAUUAAUAGUUUUUGGUAACUAAAAUCGCUUCUUGAAACCGUUCAUGGAUUUCGAUGGAAGGGGAUCUAUUAAAUUCGAUGUUUGGUGAGCACAAAUCUAAUGUGGUUCCUCUUUUAAUAAAAGACCAAAAUAGUCUUAUUAUAUAUUUAUUAAAUUAAUAAAACUAAAACUAAAACUAUAUAUAUUUACAAUAAAUAAAAAUUCAUCGCCUUAAUUUUUAUUAGGGUGGACGGAACCGUGUGAAAUGGCCUUUGGGUUGGUAUGGUGACUCGAUGGUAUCGCGAGGAACACCAUCACAACUAUUGUGGUAUCAAAAAAUGGAGAGAGUUUUAGCCUUGAAGCACCCAAACAUCUUUUUGGUUAUCUACUUUUGUGACCGUUAAUAAACAAUAAAAACAUAUGUUUUACACAAUUUAUUACCCGUAUAUAUUACCAUCAACCACUUCAGAAACCACAUCAACCUUAACAACUCUCUUCAAUUUCAUUUUAAUUCUCUCCGAUUCAAUUAAAACAAUUCUUUAUUUCAUUCCGAUCUUUAAUAUUCCAUUCAAAUGGAUUUUACCAAUGGCAAAUCCAAAAAAAAAACAUGUUAUAAGUGAAAGAAAAAGUCGUGGUAGAAGAAGGAGUUCGCUAAAUUUUCCAAAUUUGAUUCUUGAAACUCAAAUUCCGCACUAUCCUCACUACCAACAAUAUCUACCCAAAUAUUGUUAAUGUCCUAUACGACAUUCAUAUAAUCAAAUUUAAGUAUCUCAAGAUCAACCUUACAAUCACACAAUCACUAUAGCUUGCAGCGGCUGAAGACUGAUACAAUAACCAUCUAAACGUAUAACUCAAGGUCAACCAUAACCUAAGACCUAAAACCAUAAACCCAAAGUCAAACUUAGUCAAAAGUCAAUAAAAUAUCAUAUUCCGGUCAAAAAACGCACCACCCCCCAUAAGGGUGCCCCGCACCCUCUACGUGAUAAAACAAUUGAGUUUCUAGGCUUGAUCGAGUCGCUAAUUAGAAGGAGUUGGAGUCAUCUCAGGUCCAAGCUUACCAACAAGAUGGGACUAAAAGCAUAAAAAUGAAUCAAUAAUUAGAUCUAUCAUAUGAGAAGGAAAGUUGGGAGAUUUAUACUCACAAAAGUUUAGAAGAUAAGUAAGCUUUAUGGAUCUACAAUGCUCCUUUGCUUCUACACACCAAGAUGGAGCCUUCUUCUAUUAGCUUUAACCACCAAAAUGAUAAAAAUAAGUUCUCAAAGAGGAUUCUAAGCUCAAAUAUGGGAGAAGAUGACUAGGGUUUGCUGGAAACAUUCUCUAGGGUCGAUAGAGGCUGAGAAUGAUCUAACCCUAGAGACUUAAGUGUCCUUAAAUAACCUACAAA